rnacentral:piRNA from 1 species
UGGGAUAUUGUGCCUUCUCAGCACACAGG